GUGCCUGGAGGGCGAUUUCUGCUUCCCUCACGGCGAGUGCCUCAACACUGACGGCUCCUUUGCCUGUACUUGUGCCCCCGGCUACCGACCCGGACCCCGCGGAGCCUCUUGCCUCGACGUUGACGAGUGCAGCGAGGAGGACCUUUGCCAGAGCGGCAUCUGUACCAACACCGACGGCUCCUUCGAGUGCGUCUGUCCUCCGGGACACCGCGCCGGCCCGGACCUCGCCUCCUGCCUCGACGUGGACGAAUGUCGCGAGCGAGGCCCAGCCCUGUGCGGGUCGCAGCGCUGUGAGAACUCUCCCGGGUCCUACCGCUGUGUGCGGGACUGCGAUCCUGGGUACCACGCGGGCCCCGAGGGCACUUGUGACGAUGUGGACGAAUGCCGGAACCGGUCCUUCUGCGGUGCCCAUGCCGUGUGCCAGAACCUGCCCGGCUCCUUCCAGUGCCUCUGUGACCAGGGUUACGAGGGGGCACGGGAUGGGCGUCACUGCGUGGAUGUGAAUGAGUGUGAAACACUACAGGGUG
rnacentral:sRNA from 1 species